rnacentral:rRNA from 1 species
AUCCAGCAAUGCCGCGUGGGUGAAGAAGGCCUUCGGGUUGUAAAGCCCUUUCGGCGGGGAAGAAAUCGGUCAGGCGAAUAGUCUGGCCGGAUGACGGUACCCGCAGAAGAAGCACCGGCUAACUACGUGCCAGCAGCCGCGGUAAUACGUAGGGUGCGAGCGUUAAUCGGAAUUACUGGGCGUAAAGGGUGCGCAGGCGGCCCUGUAAGACCGGUGUGAAAUCCCCGGGCUCAACCUGGGAAUUGCGCUGGUGACUGCAGGGCUAGAGUACGGUAGAGGGGGGUGGAAUUCCUGGUGUAGCAGUGAAAUGCGUAGAGAUCAGGAGGACACCGAUGGCGAAGGCAGCCCCCUGGGCCUGUACUGACGCUCAUGCACGAAAGCGUGGGGAGCAAACAGGAUUAGAUACCCUGGUAGUCCACGCCCUAAACGAUGAGAACUAGCCGUCUGGAGUCUUCGUGCUCUGGGUGGCGCAGCUAACGCGUAAGUUCUCCGCNUGGGAG